rnacentral:rRNA from 1 species
UUAAGUUAUUAAGGGCGCACGGUGGAUGCCUUGGCACUAGAAGCCGAUGAAGGACGUUACUAACGACGAUAUGCUUUGGGGAGCUGUAAGUAAGCUUUGAUCCAGAGAUUUCCGAAUGGGGAAACCCAGCAUGAGUUAUGUCAUGUUAUCGAUAUGUGAAUACAUAGCAUAUCAGAAGGCACACCCGGAGAACUGAAACAUCUUAGUACCCGGAGGAAGAGAAAGAAAAUUCGAUUCCCUUAGUAGCGGCGAGCGAAAUGGGAAGAGCCCAAACCAACAAGCUUGCUUGUUGGGGUUGUAGGACACUCUAUACGGAGUUACAAAGGACGACAUUAGACGAAUCAUCUGGAAAGAUGAAUCAAAGAAGGUAAUAAUCCUGUAGUCGAAAAUGUUGUCUCUCUUGAGUGGAUCCUGAGUACGACGGAGCACGUGAAAUUCCGUCGGAAUCUGGGAGGACCAUCUCCUAAGGCUAAAUACUCUCUAGUGACCGAUAGUGAACCAGUACCGUGAGGGAAAGGUGAAAAGCACCCCGGAAGGGGAGUGAAAUAGAACCUGAAACCGUGUGCUUACAAGUAGUCAGAGCCCGUUAAUGGGUGAUGGCGUGCCUUUUGUAGAAUGAACCGGCGAGUUACGAUUUGAUGCAAGGUUAAGCAGUAAAUGUGGAGCCGUAGCGAAAGCGAGUCUGAAUAGGGCGUUUAGUAUUUGGUCGUAGACCCGAAACCAGGUGAUCUACCCUUGGUCAGGUUGAAGUUCAGGUAACACUGAAUGGAGGACCGAACCGACUUACGUUGAAAAGUGAGCGGAUGAACUGAGGGUAGCGGAGAAAUUCCAAUCGAACCUGGAGAUAGCUGGUUCUCUCCGAAAUAGCUUUAGGGCUAGCCUCAAGUGAUGAUUAUUGGAGGUAGAGCACUGUUUGGACGAGGGGCCCCUCUCGGGUUACCGAAUUCAGACAAACUCCGAAUGCCAAUUAAUUUAACUUGGGAGUCAGAACAUGGGUGAUAAGGUCCGUGUUCGAAAGGGAAACAGCCCAGACCACCAGCUAAGGUCCCAAAAUAUAUGUUAAGUGGAAAAGGAUGUGGCGUUGCCCAGACAACUAGGAUGUUGGCUUAGAAGCAGCAAUCAUUUAAAGAGUGCGUAAUAGCUCACUAGUCGAGUGACACUGCGCCGAAAAUGUACCGGGGCUAAACAUAUUACCGAAGCUGUGGAUUGUCCUUUGGACAAUGGUAGGAGAGCGUUCUAAGGGCGUUGAAGCAUGAUCGUAAGGACAUGUGGAGCGCUUAGAAGUGAGAAUGCCGGUGUGAGUAGCGAAAGACGGGUGAGAAUCCCGUCCACCGAUUGACUAAGGUUUCCAGAGGAAGGCUCGUCCGCUCUGGGUUAGUCGGGUCCUAAGCUGAGGCCGACAGGCGUAGGCGAUGGAUAACAGGUUGAUAUUCCUGUACCACCUAUAAUCGUUUUAAUCGAUGGGGGGACGCAGUAGGAUAGGCGAAGCGUGCGAUUGGAUUGCACGUCUAAGCAGUAAGGCUGAGUAUUAGGCAAAUCCGGUACUCGUUAAGGCUGAGCUGUGAUGGGGAGAAGACAUUGUGUCUUCGAGUCGUUGAUUUCACACUGCCGAGAAAAGCCUCUAGAUAGAAAAUAGGUGCCCGUACCGCAAACCGACACAGGUAGUCAAGAUGAGAAUUCUAAGGUGAGCGAGCGAACUCUCGUUAAGGAACUCGGCAAAAUGACCCCGUAACUUCGGGAGAAGGGGUGCUCUUUAGGGUUAACGCCCAGAAGAGCCGCAGUGAAUAGGCCCAAGCGACUGUUUAUCAAAAACACAGGUCUCUGCUAAACCGUAAGGUGAUGUAUAGGGGCUGACGCCUGCCCGGUGCUGGAAGGUUAAGAGGAGUGGUUAGCUUCUGCGAAGCUACGAAUCGAAGCCCCAGUAAACGGCGGCCGUAACUAUAACGGUCCUAAGGUAGCGAAAUUCCUUGUCGGGUAAGUUCCGACCCGCACGAAAGGCGUAACGAUUUGGGCACUGUCUCAACGAGAGACUCGGUGAAAUCAUAGUACCUGUGAAGAUGCAGGUUACCCGCGACAGGACGGAAAGACCCCGUGGAGCUUUACUGUAGCCUGAUAUUGAAAUUCGGCACAGCUUGUACAGGAUAGGUAGGAGCCUUUGAAACGUGAGCGCUAGCUUACGUGGAGGCGCUGGUGGGAUACUACCCUAGCUGUGUUGGCUUUCUAACCCGCACCACUUAUCGUGGUGGGAGACAGUGUCAGGCGGGCAGUUUGACUGGGGCGGUCGCCUCCUAAAAGGUAACGGAGGCGCUCAAAGGUUCCCUCAGAAUGGUUGGAAAUCAUUCAUAGAGUGUAAAGGCAUAAGGGAGCUUGACUGCGAGACCUACAAGUCGAGCAGGGUCGAAAGACGGACUUAGUGAUCCGGUGGUUCCGCAUGGAAGGGCCAUCGCUCAACGGAUAAAAGCUACCCCGGGGAUAACAGGCUUAUCUCCCCCAAGAGUUCACAUCGACGGGGAGGUUUGGCACCUCGAUGUCGGCUCAUCGCAUCCUGGGGCUGUAGUCGGUCCCAAGGGUUGGGCUGUUCGCCCAUUAAAGCGGUACGCGAGCUGGGUUCAGAACGUCGUGAGACAGUUCGGUCCCUAUCCGUCGUGGGCGUAGGAAAUUUGAGAGGAGCUGUCCUUAGUACGAGAGGACCGGGAUGGACAUACCUCUGGUGUACCAGUUGUCGUGCCAACGGCAUAGCUGGGUAGCUAUGUGUGGACGGGAUAAGUGCUGAAAGCAUCUAAGCAUGAAGCCCCCCUCAAGAUGAGAUUUCCCAACUUCGGUUAUAAGAUCCCUCAAAGAUGAUGAGGUUAAUAGGUUCGAGGUGGAAGCAUGGUGACAUGUGGAGCUGACGAAUACUAAUCGAUCGAAGACUUAAUCAA